CAGUAGCCACGGGAAUACAGAGGGUGCGAGCGUUAAUCGGAUUUACUGGGCGUAAAGCGUGCGUAGGCGGCUUCUUAAGUCGGAUGUGAAAUCCCUGAGCUUAACUUAGGAAUUGCAUUCGAUACUGGGAAGCUAGAGUAUGGGAGAGGAUGGUAGAAUUCCAGGUGUAGCGGUGAAAUGCGUAGAGAUCUGGAGGAAUACCGAUGGCGAAGGCAGCCAUCUGGCCUAAUACUGACGCUGAGGUACGAAAGCAUGGGGAGCAAACAGGAUUAGAUACCCCGGUAGUCCCUGUCUCUUAUAU
rnacentral:rRNA from 1 species